rnacentral:rRNA from 1 species
GCUGAAACUCGCCUACAUGAAGCUGGAGUUACUAGUAAUCGCAGAUCAGAAUGCUGCGGUGAAUGCGUUCCCGGGUCUUGUACACACCGCCCGUCACACCACGGGAGUUGGAGACGCCCGAAGCCGACUAUCUAACCUUUUGGAAGAAGUCGUCGAAGGUGGAAUCAAUAACUGGGGUGAAGUCGUAACAAGGUAGCCGUAUCGGAAGGUGCGGCUGGAUCACCUCCUUUCUA